GGGCCGUUAGCUCAGUUGGUAGAGCACCUCGUUUGCAACGAGGGGGUCGCAGGUUCGAAUCCUGUACGGUCCACAA
rnacentral:tRNA from 2 species